rnacentral:tRNA from 2 species
GCCGUAGUGGCUCAGUGGUAGAGCACCUCCUUGGUAAGGAGGAGAUCGAGAGUUCAAUUCUCUCCUACGGCU